rnacentral:rRNA from 1 species
CUGGCUCAGGAUGAACGCUGGCGGCGUGCUUAACACAUGCAAGUCGAACGGGAUCCAUCAGGCUUUGCUUGGUGGUGAGAGUGGCGAACGGGUGAGUAAUGCGUGACCGGCCUGCCCCAUACACCGGAAUAGCUCCUGGAAACGGGUGGUAAUGCCGGAUGCUCCGACUCCUCGCAUGGGGUGUCGGGAAAGAUUUCAUCGGUAUGGGAUGGGGUCGCGUCCUAUCAGGUAGUCGGCGGGGUAACGGCCCACCGAGCCUACGACGGGUAGCCGGCCUGAGAGGGCGACCGGCCACAUUGGGACUGAGAUACGGCCCAGACUCCUACGGGAGGCAGCAGUGGGGAAUAUUGCACAAUGGGCGCAAGCUGAUGCAGCGACGCCGCGUGCGGGAUGACGGCCUUCGGGUUGUAAACCGCUUUUGAUCGGGAGCAAGCCUUCGGGUGAGUGUACCUUUCGAAUAAGCACCGGCUAACUACGUGCCAGCAGCCKCGGUAAUACGUAGGGUGCAAGCGUUAUCCGGAAUUAUUGGGCGUAAAGGGCUCGUAGGCGGUUCGUCGCGUCCGGUGUGAAAGUCCAUCGCUUAACGGUGGAUCUGCGCCGGGUACGGGCGGGCUGGAGUGCGGUAGGGGAGACUGGAAUUCCCGGUGUAACGGUGGAAUGUGUAGAUAUCGGGAAGAACACCAAUGGCGAAGGCAGGUCUCUGGGCCGUUACUGACGCUGAGGAGCGAAAGCGUGNGGGAGCGAACAGGAUUAGAUACCCUGGUAGUCCACGCCGUAAACGGUGGAUGCUGGAUGUGGGGCCCGUUCCACGGGUUCCGUGUCGGAGCUAACGCGUUAAGCAUCCCGCCUGGGGAGUACGGCCGCAAGGYWAAAACUCAAAGAAAUUGACGGGGGCCCGCACAAGCGGCGGAGCAUGCGGGAUUAAUUCGAUGCAACGCGAAGAACCUUACCUGGGCUUGACAUGUUCCCGACCGCGGCAGAGAUGUCGUUUCCCUUCGGGGCGGGUUCACAGGUGGUGCAUGGUCGUCGUCAGCUCGUGUCGUGAGAUGUUGGGUUAAGUCCCGCAACGAGCGCAACCCUCGCCYWGUGUUGCCAGCACGUCAUGGUGGGAACUCACGGGGGACCGCCGGGGUCAWCUCGGAGGAAGGUGGGGAUGACGUCAGAUCAUCAUGCCCCUUACGUCCAGGGCUUCACGCAUGCUACAAUGGCCGGUACAACGGGAUGCGACACGGCGACGUGGAGCGGAUCCCUGAAAACCGGUCUCAGUUCGGAUUGGAGUCUGCAACCCGACUCCAUGAAGGCGGAGUCGCUAGUAAUCGCGGAUCAGCAACGCCGCGGUGAAUGCGUUCCCGGGCCUUGUACACACCGCCCGUCAAGUCAUGAAAGUGGGCAGCACCCG